rnacentral:rRNA from 1 species
UACGUAGGGGGCGAGCGUUGUCCGGAGUUACUGGGCGUAAAGGGCAUGCAGGCGGUCCGACGCGUUUUUGUGUGACAGCGGGUGGCUUAACUACCCGAGCAUGCGAAAGACGGUUGGACUUGAGGACUCGAGGGGGACACGGAAUUCCGGGUGGAGUGGUGAAAUGCGUAGAGAUCCGGAGGAACACCGAAGGCGAAGGCAGUGUCCUGGCGAGUGACUGACGCUGAGGUGCGAAAGCCAGGGGAGCGAACGGG